AUGAUUUUCCACGGUUCUGGAAUUCAAGAUCCAGGUGGCAGCAAGAUGUGCCUUGCUUCCUUCCUCUUUGCCUUCUGCCAUGAUUGUAAGUUUCCUGAGGCCUUCCCAGCCAUGCAACAUGGUGGAUCCACUCUGGAGCAUGCUCUACAGAGUCUUUUAUGGACCCAAGUGGAAGAAAAGAAGAACAACCCAGUUAUUCACAAAGAUAACUUGACUUUAGGCUCUACCAGGAACUACACCACUAGUUCUCAUGGUUUGGGGUUCUUCAGACUUGGAUUGGAAAUAUACCACCAGCUCUCCUUGGUCUCCAACUUGCCAAAUGAAGACCAUGGGACUUCUCAGCCUCAUCAUCAUGAGUAUCUGGAGAAAUUGCCACAGUAA
rnacentral:lncRNA from 1 species